rnacentral:lncRNA from 13 species
UAUGGCAUCUUGAGUCUUUCAGGUAUAUUUGGAGAUUUUGUGUUUUUGUAUUUUUAUUUUUUAGUGAUAGGGUCUCCCUCUGUCAUUCAGGCUGGAAUGCACUGGCACAAUCAUGGCUCACUGCUGCCAUGGACUCAUUCCUGGGCUCAAGUCAUCCUCCCACCUCAGCCUUCUGAGCAGCAAGGACUACAGGUUUUGAAGUACGAGGUUCAUCACUAUUCUACACGGAGCUCAACUGUCAAAGUCUGAACUCUCCAAUAUGGUAGUCACCAGCCACAUGUAUCUACUCAGUGAUGGAUAGGUAGCUAGUGCCACAUGUUGAAAUGAUAAUGUUUUACAUGUACUUUAAAUAUAAUAUUAUAUAUGUUUUUUUCUCCCUUUUAAAGGAA